UAAGGAAUAUUGGACAAUGGACGCAAGUCUGAUCCAGCCAUGCCGCGUGAAGGAUGAAUGCCCUCUGGGUUGUAAACUUCUUUUAUAGGGGAAGAAAGAUACUUUUUUUAAGGUAGUUGACGGUACCCUAUGAAUAAGCACCGGCUAACUCCGUGCCAGCAGCCGCGGUAAUACGGAGGGUGCAAGCGUUACUCGGAAUUACUGGGCGUAAAGCGUGCGUAGGCGGUUCGGUAAGUCCGUUGUGAAAGCCCUGGGCUCAACCUGGGAAUGGCAGUGGAUACUGGCGAGCUAGAGGACGGUAGAGGAUGGGGGAAUUCCCGGUGGAGCGGUGAAAUGCGUAGAGAACGGGAGGAACAGCCGUGGCGAAGGCGGCCAUCUGGACCAGUACUGACGCUGAGGCACGAAAG
rnacentral:rRNA from 1 species